GAUGAAGAACGUAGCGAAAUGCGAUAAGUAGUGUGAAUUGCAGAAUUCAGUGAAUCAUCGAAUCUUUGAACGCACAUUGCGCCCCAUGGUAUUCCGUGGGGCAUGCCUGUUCGAGCGCCAUUUACCCCCUCAAGCUCCGCUUGGUGUUGGGCGUCUGUCCCGCUUCGCGCGCGGACUCGCCCCAAAGGUAUUGGCAGCGGUCGUGCCAGCUUCUCGCGCAGCACAUUGCGCUUCUCGAGGCACCGGUGGGCCCGCGUCCAUCAAGCUCACCCCCCCAGUUUGACCUCGGAUCAGGUAGGGAUACCCGCUGAACUUAAGCAUAUCAAUAAGCGGAGGA
rnacentral:misc_RNA from 1 species